ensembl:lncRNA
CUUACCUCUGUGUCACAUCUGCAGCAUGGUUUGUUGUUGUGGAUGUGUGAACCCACGGGCGGUCUUGAGACGCUGGCUGUCGAGCUUUCUCUAUUGUCAGCAGAGUCGGCCUGUAUCCUGGCCGAAGCCUGGGAGUCGGGUGUAAUAAUCCACGUGCCAUGUUGGAUUACUGAGUGAUCAUGCUGCAUUCUUCCGCGGCUGUCUCCCCUGUUGCCUGAGAAGCUGCGUCUUCACUGACAGGUGGCUCUACCUUUGAAGUGGGCUGCUGCUGUUCUGUCUGUGGGUUCACCGCGGCAAGCUCUCCGCUCAUCGGAAAUUAUUUUAUUGCUUUUCUUGUAUGAUGUUUAAAAAAAAUAAUAAUAAAAACAAUCUUGGUGUGCGCGUGCCUACUGCCUAGCAUGCCUGUUAUUGUUAUUAUUAUUAUUAGUAGUAGUAGUAAAAUUAUUAGUAUUAGAAUUACUAGUAGUAGAAUUAUUAGUAUUAGAAUUAUUAGUAUUAGAAUUAUUGUCUACAGAUUUUGGCUACCUUUAUUGUUAGUUGUUUAUUCAUCAUUUAUUGUGAUUUUCAUUCAUUUAUUGUUAUUUUUUUGUGAUUGUGUGUUUAGUUAUCCGGUUAUCUUUUUUUGGUUUUGUAGAUUUUGUUUUUUUUUCUUUUUCUGGUUUAUUGGGUUGACUAGGUGAGUGAGUAAGUGGCAUAUGAAGGCAUAAUCGGCCUUGGUGGUGACCUUCUCGGCCCAGCAUAGUGUGGUGUCGGGGCAGUUUUUAGAGAUCUAUAUAUGUUUGCCUCUUUUCCUGUGACUAACAGUUUGCCUCUGUGAUAGAGUGAUUGUGUCACGGUUUGGAACGUAACCUUAGUAUUGGCUACGUGUUCUCACCCGGGACUGUUAUGAUGAGGAACACACCUGUGGAUUCCCGCCGGCAUGUGCUGUGAAUGAAUGAGGGUUUACUAAAAAGUUCUGAAACUGUUACCAAGUGUGUGUGCAUUAUUACUUAAGGUUAUAACAGCCUCUUUUCCCUGGACAGGAGCUGUUGGGCCAGGUGGUGGGUGGCUGACUGAUCCCCCUGCGGUGGUGGUCCCUUCACUCCCUGUACAGCAGUGCACUUGGGUGUCCAUCAAUGGUUUUGUUCACGUGUGGUGUGUCGCAUCAGGACCCUUCCCCUCCCCCUUCAGUUAGUCAUCGCUGCCUGGUAAGCCCUCAGCCCUGUGCCUAGUUCCUGUAUUUUGGUGGCAAGCUUAACUAAGCCUGGGAGGAGGGGGGCCCUGGAUGAUUAGAUCAAUAUUGUGCCACUUACUACUGAGUUAUUUCUUGGCAUCACCACCAAGAGAUUUUAAGUGAG